AGCCGCGAGUUGAGCACGUAGCGAACUAUUCUUUCGCCUUUUACUAAAGAAUACCGUUUGUUCGUUGCCUACAAGUGGCAUACGCCAUUUUUGGAGGGGUGUUUCUGUAAAGAAGCC